AGUGAACGCUGGCGGUAGGCCUAACACAUGCAAGUCGAACGGCAGCACAGUAAGAGCUUGCUCUUACGGGUGGCGAGUGGCGGACGGGUGAGGAAUACAUCGGAAUCUACUUUUUCGUGGGGGAUAACGUAGGGAAACUUACGCUAAUACAGCAUACGACCUACGGGUGAAAGCAGGGGAUCUUCGGACCUUGCGCGAUUGAAUGAGCCGAUGUCGGAUUAGCUAGUUGGCGGGGUUAAGGCCCACCCAGGCGACGAUCCGUAGCUGGACUGAGAGGAUGAUAGGCCGCACUAGAGGUGAGACACGGUCCAGACGACUAAGAGAGGCAGCAGUGGGGAAUAUGGGACAAUGGGCGCAAGCCUGAUCCAGCCAGACCGCGUGGGUGAAGAAGGCCUUCGGGUUGGAAAGCCCGUUUGUUGGGAAAGAAAAGCAGCAGGUUAAUACCCCGCUGUUCUGACGGUACCCAAAGAGUAAGCACCGGCUAACUUCGUG
rnacentral:rRNA from 1 species